UCCCUGAGGUCACUGUGGAUUACCUUAGAUCGUACUUCUUCCGCAGUUACAACAGAUCGUGAGUUGUUCCUAGUACAGUAUUCCUCAUGCAUCGGUUUAAUGGAAGCUUAGUUUAAACAAUUUAUUAAAUGGAUAAUCUAAUUUAUUUAUGAAGAAAAGCUCACUAGUCCCAUGUUCUUUAGACAACUGAUUAGAGGUGUUGAGUGGCACUAACAUAUCUCCAAAGCCUAUAGACCAUGCUAUCUUUAGUCAUGAACAGGUAUGCCGUAACAUAUUUCGUCAGGGUUGCUUAUGAAAAAACUAUUUAUUAGUCAAUACUCAUCAAAUACAUUACUUUAUCAUUUAAUUUCUACUAAGUUGUUUUAACAUUGUAACCUUAAUUACGACAAUAAUAAUCAGCAUUAUGUUAUAUUAGUCACAAAUUUAGGUUGACUAUUAUUUAAUGUUUACCAAUUUAUAUCAAUUUCAUGGAAUUCAGGAACAUUGUAUUUUCAGAUUGUUGUUGGAGAAUAGUCGCAUGUAAGAAUGAUAUGCAAUCUUAAUAUGCGAUCAAAUGAACAAUUAAUAUAUCUCCUAGAGUAAGAAUACUUGAUUGCAAUAAUCAACUCCUGGCUCCUGAUAGAUUUCAAUGUAUACAAUGAUUAUAAAUCCUUAGUUAACAAUAUUUUUACAUUAGAAAAGAGGCGUGGAAUAUGAAAAAGAUUAUAAAUAAACAACCAUAGUAGGUGAAUGUGAAUCUCGAAAUGAGAUAAUUUUGCUAUAUAUAAUUUGUUUUGUUACUUUCCAGUGCACUAAAUCAUACCAUUUUUUGAAUUGCUGUGGAUUUCUAGUCAUCACUAAUCAAUAUGUUACUAUGCAUAUAUUUCAUCCUAUCUAAUUAUCUGAGGGAAUAGACUUUCGAAACUAAGACAACAUAUUACUAUACAUGAUUUCUUCUCUGACAAAACAUUCAGGAAAA